rnacentral:lncRNA from 1 species
UAGUAUGUUAGAACUUUAUAUUUUGUUUACAACAGAGAAAUGUGGAGAUAUUAUGUUUUGCAAAUUCGAAUAAUUGAAAUAAGUGUUUGACUCUGGUUUGUUUAGUCGUUGUCAACGAGAUAUAAUAGUUGACUUAUGACUUUUUGGUCCUUGUCAACGGGAUAUAAUAGUUGACCUUUACAUUUCUUGGUGGGGAAUGUAAUUAAUUUGGACCCCAGCCUCUAGGGGUUUGGUUAAAGGUUACUAGUACUAGUAAUGUUUGUCACCUCAAAGGAACAAUUUGAUGCUAGCUACCCAUUUGAAAAGUCUCACAUAACCGGGCACCCUUUGAUGUUUGAUGACCAGAGUAAAUAAAUUAUUAGAAUGUUUUGAUUGAAUUUGAUAUGAAAAUGUUUGAAUCAGAAAUAAAUGCAUACAGAUAAAAAUUUUGAAUGUAUUGGCAAAAAAAAAAUUAACUCACAGGUUUAUGAAAAUGAUUGAUUACAAUAUUUCCUAUUUUACAAGUGAAUUUGAAAUAUUUGAUCCAUGAACUACAUUAAUGUUCCUUAUUGGGCUGUGAGCUCAUUCCUAUUUGUUGACUACUUUUCAGGUAUCCUUAGUUCAGGUGAGGAG